AUGUGUGCAGAAUAUGAACUGGAAACCCCAAGGUCAAAAUGGGAAACACCUCCGAAGGUGGUAGAGAAUGAGAACCAGACAUUGUACGGUUGAUGUCCAGCUCCUCUGAAAAUGGAGAAUGUGAAAACUUGUCAAGGACUUUUGAAACAAAAAGGAGCAGAAUCAAUAGCCGGAUUCUUCAGCUAUGACCUAGUUGUUCAAAAAUGCCUUUAGCUGGGUUCGGUUUUACGUCUGUGUUGAUCCCAGUCCCUCUGGGUGUGUCUAUGAAGCCAGAAAUGAAAGGAAUGAAGCAAAGACCAGUUUCUGUCCAACCUGUUGGAGAACGGGGGGGAGCUUCAUAGAAAUGAACUGACAGAGAGAGAGGGAGUGUUGACUGGUAGAACAGGUUUAGGUGAGGUGGUCAAGUGAGCUUGAAGCAGACCAGGGAGCGAGCUGCCGUGUCAUUGUUUCAACACAGAGAGGAAGAGAAAACCGCAAAGAGGACUCUCGGCGGGAAGAGAAGCUGACUGUGGACAGGUUGACGGUCCUGCUUCCUAUUUCCGCCUUUCCUGCUGUGGUUGGUUCACUGACUGGACUCUGCUCCGCCUCCACAAUGUCAUCAAACAUCAAUGUCUCUCUGGAUAAUCCAUAUGGUCAGGUGACUAUCCCGAGGGCAAAGCUCCGCCCCUCUGAUGGGGGCAGUACAGUAAUAGCAAAUCCAACAGCUCUCAGCAGCAAUGAUACAUCUUACACAUUUUCAAGCUCCGCCCACAAGGAUUCAUAUAUGGUGAAGGAAGAUGAAGGUGUGGAAGAGGAGAAAAGGGGCUGUUGCUACCGCUGCAGGAGGAGGAAGUGACAUCACUGCGGCAGUGAUGCAGGGACUGGAUCCAUGUUAUUUUCCUACGGAAAGAGAGUUCAAAAGCCAGAGGGGAACAACACGAAGGGCAGGACGCUACAUCACGAGGCCAUUUUGUUUCUGCAAUCAACUUGAGCAAACCAUGGUCAUGAGCGAGGCGUAGUCCAGCUGAGAAGAAGUCCUGUCAAACAACGCUGGAACCAGUUUUAGAGUCAAAAGUUUCAAAGUGACCACAACUAUCUUCCCCUGAACCUCUGUAACCUCUGACCUCUGCUUCUCUGCUGGAGACUCCACCCCUUUCACAAGUUCUACUAAAAUAAUGGGCGCUCAGAACUGCAGGACCUGGAUACCUGACUGGUCAUGGGGUGAUGGUUCUUCUAGAACGUUCUGACAAAUCAAUAAAAGUUUGAGACACACAAUGGCUGCCCUUGACACCGUCUAAGUUUCUUGCCACCAUUGUUGCCAUCAGCUAAGGUGCACAUCCCAUGAAGCGGCAGCCUCAGUAAACUCUGAGCAGUAUGUGUGUAUUUGUUGCAUGUCUGAUCUUGUUCGGGUUGUACUAGAACACAUCUCGUAUGUAAGUGUAAAAGCUGUACAUAUGACAAUAAAAGGAUUCUGAUUCUGAUA